rnacentral:sRNA from 1 species
UGCGAUCCCGCGAUAGGGAUAGCAGUGGAAAUCCUUUUUAAAAAGGUCUUGCGAAGGGAAAGAAAGGGCAGGGCUUUGUAAAAAGAUUGCAGCGGAUAGCCCGGUCCGGA